CCUACGGGAGACAGCAGUGAGGAAUAUUGCACAAUGGACGAGAGUCUGAUCCAGCCAAGCAGCGUGAAUGAUGACUGCCUUAUGGGUUUUAAGCUUUUUUAAUAUGGGAAUAAAACAGGGUAUGCAUACCCUCUUGUAUGUACCAUAUCAGUAAGGAUCGGCUAACUCCGUGCCAGCAGCCGAGGUAAUACGGAGGAUCCGAGCGAUAUCCGGAUUUACUGGGUUUAAAGGGAGCGUAGGUGGAUUGUUAAGUCAGUUGUGAAAGUAUGGGGCUCAACCUUAGAAUUGCAGUUGAAACUGGCAGUCUUGAGUACAGUAGAGGUGGGCAGAAUUCGUGGUGUAGCGGUGAAAUGCUUAGAUAUCACGAAGAACACCGAUUGCGAAGGCAGCUCACUGGACUGCAACUGACACUGAUGCUCGAAAGUGUGGGUAUCAAACAGGAUUAGAUACCCGGGUAGUC
rnacentral:rRNA from 1 species